CAAGUCGAGGGGCAGCAGGACUGUAGCAAUACAGUUGCUGGCGACCGGCAAACGGGUGCGGAACACGUACGCAACUUACCCAAAACUGGGGAAUAGCCCGGGGAAACCCGGAUUAAUACCUCGUAACAUAAUGGAGUGGCAUCACUUUAUUAUUAUAGCUCCGGCGGUUUUGGAUGGGCGUGCGCCUGAUUAGGUAGUUGGCGGGGUAACGGCCCACCAAGCCUGCGAUCAGUAACUGGUGUGAGAGCACGACCAGUCACACGGGCACUGAGACACGGGCCCGACUCCUACGGGAGGCAGCAGUAAGGAAUAUUGGUCAAUGGACGCAAGUCUGAACCAGCCAUGCCGCGUGAAGGAUGAAGGUCCUCUGGAUUGUAAACCUCUUUUAUAUGGGACGAAACCCCCUGAUUCCUCAGGGAUUGACGGUACCAUAGGAAUAAGCACCGGCUAACUCCGUGCCAGCAGCCGCGGUAAUACGGAGGGUGCAAGCGUUAUCCGGAUUCACUGGGUUUAAAGGGUGCGUAGGAGGGCAGGUAAGUCAGUGGUGAAAUCUCCGAGCUUAACUUGGAAACUGCCGUUGAUACUAUCUGCCUUGAAUAUUGUGGAGGUGAGCGGAAUAUGUCAUGUAGCGGUGAAAUGCUUAGAUAUGACAUAGAACACCAAUUGCGAAGGCAGCUCGCUACACAUAUAUUGACUCUGAGGCACGAAAGCGUGGGGAUCAAACAGGAUUAGAUACCCUGGUAGUCCACGCCCUAAACGAUGGAUACUCGACAUACGCGAUACACUGUGUGUGUCUGAGCGAAAGCAUUAAGUAUCCCACCUGGGAAGUAC
rnacentral:rRNA from 1 species